UUUGAACCGCAUGGUUCAAACAUAAAAAGGUGGGCUUCGGCUACCACUUACAGAUGGACCCCGCGGGCGCAUUAGCUAGUUUGGUGAGGUAAUGGCUCACCAAAGGCGACGAUGCGUAGCCGACCUGAGAGGGUGAUCGGCCACACUGGGACUGAGACACGGCCCAGACUCCUACGGGAGGCAGCAGUAGGGAAUCUUCCGCAAUGGACGAAAGUCUGACGGAGCAACGCCGCGUGAGUGAUGAAGGUUUUCGGAUCGUAAAGCUCUGUUGUUAGGGAAGAACAAGUACCGUUCGAAUAGGGCGGUACCUUGACGGUACCUAACCAGAAAGCCACGGCUAACUACGUGCCAGCAGCCGCGGUAAUACGUAGGUGGCAAGCGUUGUCCGGAAUUAUUGGGCGUAAAGGGCUCGCAGGCGGUUUCUUAAGUCUGAUGUGAAAGCCCCCGGCUCAACCGGGGAGGGUCAUUGGAAACUGGGGAACUUGAGUGCAGAAGAGGAGAGUGGAAUUCCACGUGUAGCGGUGAAAUGCGUAGAGAUGUGGAGGAACACCAGUGGCGAAGGCGACUCUCUGGUCUGUAACUGACGCUGAGGAGCGAAAG
rnacentral:rRNA from 1 species